UUGAACGCUGGCGGCCUGCUUUACACAUGCAAGUCGAACGGUAACAGGCCUUCGGGUGCUGACGAGUGGCGAACGGGUGAGUAAUGCAUCGGAACGUACCCAGAGGUGGGGGAUAACGCAGCGAAAGCUGUGCUAAUACCGCAUGUGAUCUGAGGAUGAAAGCGGGGGACCGAGCAGCAAUGUUUGGCCUCGCGCCUUUGGAGCGGCCGAUGUCGGAUUUGCUAGUUGGUGGGGUAAAGGCCUACCAAGGCGACGAUCCGUAGCUGGUCUGAGAGGACGACCAGCCACACUGGGACUGAGACACGGACCAGACUCCUACGGGAGGCAGCAGUGGGGAAUUUUGGACAAUGGGCGCAAGCCUGAUCCAGCAAUGCCGCGUGCGGGAAGAAGGCCUUCGGGUUGUAAACCGCUUUUGGCAGGAACGAAACGGUGUCCGCUAAUACCGGGCGCUAAUGACGGUACCUGCAGAAUAAGCACCGGCUAACUACGUG
rnacentral:rRNA from 1 species